GAGAGAGACAGAGAGAGAGACAGAGAGAGCGAGAGCACGUGCGGAUGUUCUCCGGGCAGAGCGCGGAGCCACAGACAGGGACAGGACGUCGGUGAAGACGGAGAAAAAAAACGAGAUGACGUAACACACCUGCAGUUAGCUAACCAAGAAGGUGGCUAAAGUUGUCCUCCCUGGUCCUGGUCCUGGUCCUGGUCUCGGUCAGACAUGCUCCCAGUGUGUGACCCAGCAGUGACAGCACCAAUCAGGCUCGGGUGUCUGGACCCUGACAGUGUUUGUAAACCACUUGUUUCCAGCCAUCAGUCUGAUCAGAGGCUCCGGCUCUGAGACGAGGCCGGGACUCUUCCAGGAGAGCAGAGCAGACUGGACUGGUGUGUGUGUGGCUGCUGGACAGGUCGAUGGACUGGACUGGACCAGGGACCAGGCUUCAGGGUUCAAGGUUCAAGGUUCAGGCUCAGCAGAGUGAAGCUCCAGACCCGUGGACCCUCCAGUACCGUCCGUCUGAGCAGACGUGCAGAGAGAGACGAGUGAGGGGAGACGACGGGACGCCGAGGCCCAGGAACUUCUUCAGCCUGCUGUAAGUCAACCAGUUCACCCAGUUACCACCUUAGACAUCAUACCUGUACAUACCACAACCCCCACCCCUACCCAGACACCCCCAAUCCCUCAUCACUUCUUGAGCGACCGUCAGGUUGGGGGCAUCUUCAGCUGUGACCCCCACAGUUUCGCAGAUUUAG